ACUCAAAUGAAUUGACGGGGGCCCGCACAAGCGGUGGAACAUGUGGUUCAAUUCGACGCAACGCGAAGAACCUUACCUGGGCUUGAACCGCACAUGACCCUCCUUAGAAAUAGGGACUUCCCGCAAGGGACAUGUGUAGAGGUGCUGCAUGGCUGUCGUCAGCUCGUGCCGUGAGGUGUUGGGUUAAGUCCCGCAACGAGCGCAACCCUUACUCAUAGUUGCUACCCGCAAGGGAGAACUCUAUGAGGACUGCUCCGGAUAACGGAGAGGAAGGUGGGGAUGAGGUCAAGUCAGCAUGGCCUUUAUGUCCAGGGCUACACACGUGUUACAAUGCAUGGUACAAAGUGUCGCGAACCCGCGAGGGGGAGCUAAUCGCAAAAAACCAUGCUCAGUUCGGAUUGCAGUCUGCAACUCGACUGCAUGAAGCCGGAAUCGCUAGUAAUGGCGUAUCAGAUCGACGCCGUGAAUACGUUCCCGGGCCUUGUACACACCGCCCGU
rnacentral:rRNA from 1 species